AGCCCUGUCAUGAAGUGCAUGUUCUUCAGCCUAGACAUGAAGUGACUACUUCUGAUGAUCCUCCAGUUGUGUUUGGUAGCUUGGACAAUGAAUUCAUUCAGAAGUCAAACCUGCGGCCAGGGAAUCUUCUUCACUUUGCUGUCAGAGAUGGAAAAGUGAAAUGUGUGGAUGGGAAGAUGGAGAUUAGAGCAGGUACAAUAAGGCUGACUCAUCAGCUCCAAAAAUUGCUAGCUCAUAUUAUUCCUAUGUGGCAGUGUAAUGAUUGAGGGGGGAGAGAAGAGUGGGCGACUAUAUUGUCGCCAGGCUAUAACACCUUUUUUGAGGGGGUAGCGCCGGUUUGUAGCUGGAAGAGGUGCUAGAAAACGUGUAGGAUGUUUUAAUCUCUGACAUUUUACAACCAACCUUUUGUACUUGGUAAGCUAUAAGCUAGCUCUUCCUGAGCUGGACAAAAAUUAGAGAUGGUAGUGGGCUCUCUAUGACCAUGCUCUUAGUGAGCUGCAGUUUGUUGGAAAGCCCAACCGUGCUCGUGCUUUUGCUGACAGCCACUCGAAAGCCUUGUUUCAGUAUGCUGCUAGGCAUGCUCCUCUGAGAAUUGAAGAUCUUGUUGCCUCCAUUCAUUUAGUUUUUUUAGGAGAAGUCCGAGCCGUUGCUAGGUACUAUGUGAUGAUCUCUAACAAGUCAAAUAUGGUGCAAGUGAACACUCAAGGCAGUUCAAAGAUUCCCGAAUUGAAGUUCUGCAAGCUCAAGAUGAUUUAGUGAAGCCUAUGUUGGAGGCAACAGGGAAAGAGCUGCUGUACAUUAGCCGAGAUCACCAUGCAUACGAGAAUCUUCUUAGGAUACAUAUUGUUCAGCCAAAAGACUGGCAUGAGGAAUAUAUUGAAGAUCCGGAUGAAGUUAAACCAGAGGCCACGACUCUAUUCCAAAAGAGAUUCCUGAUCCAACGGACAAAAAGUUUUGUACUUAGAGCUAUCCUACAAAUCCAGCUUCUAGUAUUCAAGAAUUUCAUUGACAUAUUAAUUUAUUGAAAUGCAUUAAUUAACAUUAUUUAUAUGGAAUCAUAUGUUCUUUAUAUUAUGAGAAGAACCGAGUGCAGACAAAGGUUACAUCUUACCUAUUCAAGCUUUUUUCAUUAGGAACAUCCUCACACAUUCACAUUUCCUAUCUUCUAUUAGCAAUAUUGAAUCCACUAUGACUUUAAUGGCUCUAUGAUGUGUAAUAAAAAUAACAUAGUAUGACAUGUAUUUUCUUUUUUUAUAUAUUAAAUCAGCCUGAGUCAUGGGAUGAUGGCAACGAUGGUGUAUGGAAACCUAGAUGAUACCAAACCUAGAGUACAGGGGACGAUGGAAACACAAGAAAAUUAAGAACCCUAACUACAAGGGAAAAUGGCAGGUCCCAUGGAUUGAUAAUCCAAGUUAGAUAUAAUGAUCAUUUCUGUGAGCACUAUGUUAAUGUUUUUCAUGUUCCUGUGUACCUUGCCUAAUACUGUUUGUAUCAGGCAGUUUAAUCUAUAUUUGAUAACAUUAAUUUUCAUUUCUCACUGCAUAUCUAACUUUGAGCUGGACCUCACUUGCUCACCAAUGUUGAAGUGAAAAUAAAGUGAUUUAUAUGCAUAUUUCACAGAAUUUAGGGAUGACCCAGACCUAUACGUGCUGAAACCUUAUUGCUGAUUAAUAGGUGUCUGUAAGUGCAUGCACACAUGGUUAGUAAAUUAGAUAUGCAUGAAUUGUCAUUGUUUUUUUCCUGGUAGCAAUGGAGUGACUUGUCACUGGUGAGAAUGGAAGUAUAAUAAAGUUUGUAUGGAACCCAGUUAGCUUCUCAUUUUAAUUAUAUGAUGUCCAAAUUAAUUCAAUCCUGUUAAAUUUUGUACCAUAUAAAUGGAUAGCAGGAAAAAAAAUGAUAUACACAGGUGGCACGCCACUGGUGCCCCUAAUAUCUAGUAAUACAUAAGGGUGGCGGGCUAGGGAGGUGGAUGGAUGGAUGGAUGAGAGUCCCUCCACUUGUCUGCUGGAUCCCACCCCGGAAAAAAUAUCGCGUGCACCCAACCCUCACCGCCCUCGCUUUCCUCUCUCCGCACCCGACCCUACCUCACUUUCUCCGCGUUGCCGAUGGCCUCUAAUGCCAACCCAUGGAUCCACCUGCCUCCACCAAGGAUGAAGAUAAGGAGACCGAGCCCUAGGAGGAGGAGAAAGCGGAGUCGGAGAUGGGAGAGGAGGAGCAUGGUCAGGGGCUUAGGGCGGAAGCAUGCGUGGCAGAAGAGGAAUAGGGAGGGGAGGUGGAGAAAAGUCAGCGCCCUCCCGCUGUCGAGAGGGUCUCUAGGGAGAGAAAGACGGUUGAGCGCAACUCCGAGCUCGCCUCGGGCGUCACCCUCGCUGCGAGCGCUAGCCGCCGACCUCCUCUUCGUGUUGACGCUGAAAAUAACAACGUAUCACACACGAAGGCCUGGGAGUUACUCUGAUAC